UCUGCAGCGGGUAUCCGGGGACGCGUGGGAGCGGUGCGGGAGGCUACGGGCGACGGUCAGCUCUGGCGCAGACAGCGCGAGGAAGGGCCCGGAGACGCGCCGCUCCCGGCGCAUUGUGAGGUCCCGCGGUUCUUGCCGCCCGAGGUCGCGGCGACCGCGCUUCUCCUCGGACCGCGUCCGUGGAGGCGUUUGGAGGGGACCGAGGCACCCACGCGUGCCCCUGGUGUCAGCCGAGCGCGGGCCUCCGGACGGGGCCACGUGGCUCGUAACAAGUUACUCGACCUGUUCUUAGUCUUCUGCGAAGUGAGAGUAAUGCCUUCUUCCUAGGGUAGUGGCGCCUGUUUAAUGUGCUUAUGCAAGAGGGGUGCUGGACACAGCCGGGGACAGAGGGCGCAGGUGUUAUCAGGACUCUUUCCUUCCCCAGUAGACUCGCCUCCCCAGUGCGGAGCUUUGGAGCUGUUCUAUCCACCAAUAUGUAUGCGGGCGCUCAGAAAUAUUUGUUGAAGGAAUAAAUUUGCAGGCUAGGACUGUGAUGGCAGCGGAUUCGGGAAUACGAGCUAAUUUUACAUCAGUAUGCACUGAAACUCAUUGAUAAAGCUGUUCAGUGAAAACAUUGGCGGCAGUAACUGGGGAUAUUAGCAAAGACCAUAGGUUACCUGAGGCUGUGUUUUGCAGCCCGCUUUAUUCCUAAGGUGGGAUCUGGACGCUACCUCCCCUCCCCCCAGCAAAAGUUUGAUAAAUGGUGCCUGAGACAGACUUGACUCUGAUAUUCCUUCGCUCUUCGAAUUUAGAACUCGCUCCAAAGUGUUAACACAGAAGUUGUUCUCCAGGGAGAAGGUCACAGAACUGUAACCUUACAAAACAGGUUAAAUACCAAGAAGACCACACCUUGGGCUCUUACAAGAUAAAGAGAUGGAAAAAGUGACAGCGGCGAGCCUCUAUAGACUUGGUUACCUGGAGGCAUCAUGACACCACUCUGAGUCUUAAGACGAGAAAAUGAUUCUGUUGACAGCUAUCGAUGCUUUAUUGUUUGAGCUGUGGCCAUAGAAUCACCCCGCCCAUCCCCAAGGUGGGCUCACAGUUUUGAAAGCACCAGCCUGCUGUAAGUCCCCUUUGCCCGGCUAAGUAAUAAAGCUGUGUCUUUCUUCUAA